GAGGUGUGGCUGAGUGGUCGAUAGCGGCGGUCUUGAAAACCGUUGUACUCGUGAGGGUACCGGGGGUUCGAAUCCCUCUGCCUCC
rnacentral:tRNA from 1 species